rnacentral:rRNA from 1 species
UACGGAGGGUGCGAGCGUUGUCCGGAAUCAUUGGGCGUAAAGGGCGCGUAGGUGGCCCGGUCAGUUCGUGGUGAAAGCGCGGGGCUCAACCCUGCGUCGGCCAUGAAUACUGCCGCGGCUGGAGCACUGUAGAGGCAGGCGGAAUUCCAGGUGUAGCGGUGAAAUGCGUAGAUAUCUGGAGGAAUACCGGUGGCGAAGGCGGCAUCCUGGACCGGCAUUGACGCUGAUGAGUGAAAGCUAGGGGAGCAAACGGGG